rnacentral:rRNA from 1 species
AGAGUUUGAUCCUGGCUCAGAAUGAACGCUGGCGGCGUGCUUAACACAUGCAAGUCGAGCGAGAAAGUCGACUUCGGUCGACGAGUAAAGCGGCGAACGGGUGAGUAACACGUGGGUAACCUGCCUUGGAGUGGGGGAUAACCUGGGGAAACUCGGGCUAAUACCGCAUACGUUCUCGGCACUGUGGUGCUGAGAGGAAAGCUGGCCAAUGCUUGCAAGCCAGCGCUCUUUGAGGGACCCGCGCCCGAUUAGCUUGUUGGUGGGGUAACGGCCCACCAAGGCUGCGAUCGGUAGCCGGCCUGAGAGGGUGAUCGGCCACACUGGGACUGAGACACGGCCCAGACUCCUACGGGAGGCAGCAGUGGGGAAUAUUGGACAAUGGGCGCAAGCCUGAUCCAGCAACGCCGCGUGGAGGACGAAGGCCUUCGGGUCGUAAACUCCUGUCAGUUGGGACGAAAAGCUGUCGGUCAAUAUCCGGCAGUCAUGACGGUACCAGCAGAGGAAGCCCCGGCUAACUCCGUGCCAGCAGCCGCGGUAAUACGGAGGGGGCUAGCGUUAUUCGGAAUUAUUGGGCGUAAAGAGCGCGUAGGCGGCCUGGUAGGUCAAAGGUGAAAUCCCUCAGCUCAACUGAGGAACUGCCUUUGAACCUCCAGGCUAGAGGCUGGGAGGGGGUAGCGGAAUUCCCGGUGUAGCGGUGAAUGCGUAGAUAUCGGGAGGAACACCAGUGGCGAAAGCGGCUACCUGGACCAGUUCUGACGCUGAGGCGCGAAAGCGUGGGGAGCAAACAGGAUUAGAUACCCUGNUAGUCCACGCUGUAAACGAUGGGCACUCGGUGCCGCGGGUGUUGACCCCUGCGGUGCCCUAGCUAACGCGUUAAGUGCCCCGCCUGGGGAGUACGGUCGCAAGGCUGAAACUCAAAAGGAAUUGACGGGGGCCCGCACAAGCGGUGGAG